AUACGUAGGUGGCAAGCGUUGUCCGGAAUUAUUGGGCGUAAAGCGCAUGUAGGCGGUUUGGUAAGUCGGUCGUGAAAAUGCGGUGCUUAACGCCGUAUGGCGAUUGAAACUGCUGAACUUGAGUGCAGGAGAGGAAAGGGGAACUCCCAGUGUAGCGGUGAAAUGCGUAGAUAUUGGGAAGAACACCGGUGGCGAAGGCGCCUUUCUGGACUGUGUCUGACGCGCAGAUGCGAAAGCCAGGGUAGCGAACGGGAUUAGAUACCCCGGUAGUCCUGGCCGUAAACGAUGGGUACUAGGUGUGGGAGGUAUCGACUCCUUCCGUGCCGGAGUUAACGCAAUAAGUCCCCCGCCUGGGGAGUACGGCCGCAAGGCUUAAACUCAAAGGAAUUGACGGGG
rnacentral:rRNA from 1 species